rnacentral:rRNA from 1 species
CAGGCCUAACACAUGCAAGUCGCACAGGGGCUUCGGCCUUAGUGGCGGACGGGUGAGUAUCGCGUAGGAAUCUAUCCAUGGGUGGGGGAUAACUCUGGGAAACUGGAGCUAAUACCGCAUGACACCUGAGGGUCAAAGGCGCAAGUCGCCUGUGGGGGAGCCUGCGUUCGAUUAGCUUGUUGGUGGGGUAAAGGCCUACCAAGGCGAUGAUCGAUAGCUGGUCUGAGAGGAUGAUCAGCCACACUGGGACUGAGACACGGCCCAGACUCCUACGGGAGGCAGCAGUGGGGAAUAUUGGACAAUGGGCGCAAGCCUGAUCCAGCAAUGCCGCGUGUGUGAAGAAGGUCUUCGGAUUGUAAAGCACUUUCGACGGGGACGAUGAUGACGGUACCCGUAGAAGAAGCCCCGGCUAACUUCGUGCCAGCAGCCGCGGUAAU